GUGCUCGCUUCGGCAGCACAUAUACUAAAAUUGGAACAAUACAAAGAAGAUUAGCGUGGUCCCUGUGCAAGGAUGACACACAAAGAAAUGAGCAAAUAAAUGAAUGG